UACGUAGGUGGCAAGCGUUGUCCGGAUUUAUUGGGUUUAAAGGGUGCGUAGGCGGUCGCGCAAGUCGGAUGUGAAAUCUCAGGGCUCAACCCUGAAACUGCAUUCGAUACUGCGUGGCUAGAGUGCUGGAGGGGAGACUGGAAUUUACGGUGUAGCAGUGAAAUGCGUAGAUAUCGUAAGGAAGACCAGUGGCGAAGGCGAGUCUCUGGUCAGCAACUGACGCUGAGGCACGAAGGCCAGGGGAGCAAACGGG
rnacentral:rRNA from 1 species